GGGAUGUGAUGAGUGGUCAUAACUCGCAAUUUCAUUGCGUGAGGGGUGCUCGCCCACGCCUGGUUACGACACAGGGGCACCCUCAUAGUUACCAAUCUGAUCCC